AACGGCUCAAGCAUGCCCUGAAUGCCUGUUACCACCUGACGCUUCGACCGGCACCUGCGGCUAAGUGAAGAAACCCAAAACAGAAAGAUUGAUCGAGAGCAGGACAGAAGAGUCCUCCCUGAGGAGUGGCCCCAGUGGAUCCCCAGAUUCCCACAGAAGAUUCAGACAGCGAGAGAGAGGAGCCUCCAACAACGAGUGGCGGCCCAAGGUACCUCCAGACAUUUCCAAAUCAAGAACCGAUAGAUCUUUAAGGACAGUCUUUGAAGUGUUCAGUUUUAAUGAGAUGUCACUGUUUGGAUUCUCUGUCUGAUAUGUGUAAAUGUGGCUCAAACUUGAAUCUAAUCUUGCAGAGUCCGCCUAAUACCCAUUGUGAAUAUGAU